rnacentral:rRNA from 1 species
AAAGCACUUUCAGUAGGGAGGAAGGUUCAUGCGUUAAUAGCGUAUGGAUUUGACGUUACCUACAGAAGAAGCACCGGCUAAUUCCGUGCCAGCAGCCGCGGUAAUACGGAGGGUGCGAGCGUUAAUCGGAAUUACUGGGCGUAAAGCGCAUGCAGGUGGUUUGUUAAGUCAGAUGUGAAAGCCCGGGGCUCAACCUCGGAAUUGCAUUUGAAACUGGCAGACUAGAGUACUGUAGAGGGGGGUAGAAUUUCAGGUGUAGCGGUGAAAUGCGUAGAGAUCUGAAGGAAUACCGGUGGCGAAGGCGGCCCCCUGGACAGAUACUGACACUCAGAUGCGAAAGCGUGGGGAGCAAACAGGAUUAGAUACCCUGGUAGUCCACGCCGUAAACGAUGUCUACUUGGAGGUUGUGGCCUUGAGCCGUGGCUUUCGGAGCUAACGCGUUAAGUAGACCGCCUGGGGAGUACGGUCGCAAGAUUAAAACUCAAAUGAAUUGACGGGGGCCCGCACAAGCGGUGGAGCAUGUGGUUUAAUUCGAUGCAACGCGAAGAACCUUACCUACUCUUGACAUCCAGAGAAGCCAGUAGAGAUACAGGUGUGCCUUCGGGAACUCUGAGACAGGUGCUGCAUGGCUGUCGUCAGCUCGUGUUGUGAAAUGUUGGGUUAAGUCCCGCAACGAGCGCAACCCUUAUCCUUGUUUGCCAGCGAGUAAUGUCGGGAACUCCAGGGAGACUGCCGGUGAUAAACCGGAGGAAGGUGGGGACGACGUCAAGUCAUCAUGGCCCUUACGAGUAGGGCUACACACGUGCUACAAUGGCGCAUACAGAGGGCAGCCAACUUGCGAAAGUGAGCGAAUCCCAAAAAGUGCGUCGUAGUCCGGAUUGGAGUCUGCAACUCGACUCCAUGAAGUCGGAAUCGCUAGUAAUCGUGGAUCAGAAUGCCACGGUGAAUACGUUCCCGGGCCUUGUACACACCGCCCGUCACACCAUGGGAGUGGGCUGCAAAAGAAGUAGGUAGUUUAACCUUUCGGGGAGGGACGCUU